AGUGAACGCUGGCGGUAGGCCUAACACAUGCAAGUCGCACGGCAGCACAGGAGAGCUUGCUCUCUGGGUGGCGAGUGGCGGACGGGUGAGGAAUACAUCGGAAUGCACUUUUUCGUGGGGGAUAACGUAGGGAAACUUACGCUAAUACCGCAUACGACCUAGGGGUGAAAGCAGGGGACCUUCGGGCCUUGCGCGAUUGAAUGAGCCGAUGUCGGAUUAGCUAGUUGGAGGGGUAAAGGCCCACCAAGGCGACGAACCGUAGCUGGUCUGGAAGGAUGAUCAGCCACACUGGAACUGAGGCACGGUGCAGACUCCUACGGGAGGCAGCAGUGGGGAAUAUUGGACAAUGGGCGCAAGCCUGAUCCAGCCAUACCGCGUGGGUGAAGAAGGCCUUCGGGUUGUAAAGCCCUCUUGUUGGGAAAGAAAUCCAGCUGGCUAAUACCCGGUUGGGAUGACGGUACCCAAAGAAUAAGCACCGGCUAACUUCGUGCCAGCCGCCGCAGUAA
rnacentral:rRNA from 1 species